UUAGAUCAGAAGCGAGAAUGUUGACAUGAGUAGCGAUAAAGAGGGUGAGAGACCCUCUCGCCGUAAGUCCAAGGGUUCCUGCUUAAAGCUAAUCUGAGCAGGGUAAGCCGGCCCCUAAGGCGAGGCCGAAAGGCGUAGUCGAUGGGAACCAGGUUAAUAUUCCUGGGCCAGGAGGAAGUGACGGAUCUCGAAGGUAGUUUGCCCUUAUCGGAUUGGGUGGGCUGCUCAGAGGUUCCAGGAAAUAGCCCUCCAUCAGACCGUACCCUAAACCGACACAGGUGGACUGGUAGAGUAUACCAAGGCGCUUGAGAGAACCACGUUAAAGGAACUCGGCAAAAUGCCUCCGUAAGUUCGCGAGAAGGAGGCCCCAUAUGUGCGCAAGCAGGUGUGGGGGGCACAAACUAGGGGGUGGCGACUGUUUACUUAAAACACAGGGCUGUGCGAAGCCGUAAGGCGACGUAUACAGUCUGACGCCUGCCCGGUGCUGGAAGGUUAAAAGGAGGGGUGCAAGCUCUGAAUUGAAGCCCCAGUAAACGGCGGCCGUAACAAUAACGGUCCUAAGGUAGCGAAAUUCCUUGUCGGGUAAGUUCCGACCUGCACGAAUGGCGUAACGAUCUCCCCGCUGUCUCUAACGUGGACUCAGCGAAAUUGAACUGUGUGUCAAGAUGCACACUACCCGCGGUUAGACGGAAAGACCCCAUGCACCUUUACUCCAGCUUUGCACUGGUAUCAGGAUUGUGAUGUGCAGGAUAGGUGGUAGGCAUCGAAGCGGGGACGCCAGUUCUCGUGGAGCCUCCCUGGAGAUACCACCCUUCGCCAUCUUGAUAUCUAACCGCGGCCCGUUAUCCGGGUCCGGGACCCUGCAUGGUGGGGAGUUUGACUGGGGCGGUCGCCUCCCAAACAGUAACGGAGGCGCGCGAAGGUAGGCUCAGACCGGUCGGAAAUCGGUCGUUGAGUGCAAUGGCAGAAGCCUGCCUGACUGCAAGUCUGACAAGACGAGCAGAGACGAAAGUCGGUCAUAGUGAUCCGGUGGUCCCAAGUGGGAGGGCCAUCGCUCAACGGAUAAAAGGUACGCUGGGGAUAACAGGCUGAUGAUGCCCAAGAGUCCAUAUCGACGGCAUCGUUUGGCACCUCGAUGUCGGCUCAUCUCAUCCUGGGGCUGGAGCAGGUCCCAAGGGUAUGGCUGUUCGCCAUUUAAAGAGGUACGUGAGCUGGGUUUAGAACGUCGUGAGACAGUUCGGUCCCUAUCUGCCGUGGGUGUAGGAGACUUGAGAAGAGUUGCCCCUAGUACGAGAGGACCGGGGUGAACGAACCACUGGUGGACCAGUUGUCGUGCCAACGGCAGUGCUGGGUAGCUAUGUUCGGACAGGAUAACCGCUGAAGGCAUCUAAGCGGGAAGCCCCCUUCAAAACAAGGUCUCCCUUGAGAGCCGUGGAAGACCACCACGUCGAUAGGCCGGAGGUGUAAGUGCAGCAAUGCAUUCAGCUGACCGGUACUAAUUGCUCC
rnacentral:rRNA from 1 species